ACGCGUUAAGUCGACCGCCUGGGGAGUACGGCCGCAAGGUUAAAACUCAAAUGAAUUGACGGGGGCCCGCACAAGCGGUGGAGCAUGUGGUUUAAUUCGAUGCAACGCGAAGAACCUUACCUACUCUUGACAUCCAGAGAACUUUCCAGAGAUGGAUUGGUGCCUUCGGGAACUCUGAGACAGGUGCUGCAUGGCUGUCGUCAGCUCGUGUUGUGAAAUGUUGGGUUAAGUCCCGCAACGAGCGCAACCCUUAUCCUUUGUUGCCAGCGGUUCGGCCGGGAACUCAAAGGAGACUGCCAGUGAUAAACUGGAGGAAGGUGGGGAUGACGUCAAGUCAUCAUGGCCCUUACGAGUAGGGCUACACACGUGCUACAAUGGCGCAUACAAAGAGAAGCGACCUCGCGAGAGCAAGCGGACCUCAUAAAGUGCGUCGUAGUCCGGAUUGGAGUCUGCAACUCGACUCCAUGAAGUCGGAAUCGCUAGUAAUCGUAGAUCAGAAUGCUACGGUGAAUACGUUCCCGGGCCUUGUACACACCGCCCGUCACACCAUGGGA
rnacentral:rRNA from 1 species